rnacentral:lncRNA from 1 species
UGUGCCGCCGCUGCCGGUGAAGCUGCGCCUGCAGGGGACCAUUGCGCUCGGCAAAGACGGCGACCCCAACGCGGAUGCGGCGCAGCUCCCGCCCCAGCAGACGCUUAAAACCGCUGACGACAAGGUGCACGACAUGCAGAUGCAGUACCUGGUCCUGGCGAAGGGCGCUCUGGUGCCCUGGGUGCCGAACCGCCCGAAGCAGUGAGCGGUUGGGACACGCGGUUGACAGCGAGCCGAGCUGCUACCGCGGUCUUCGUACCGCUGCAGCUUUGCGCGCGACGGGUAGCUGCUGGGGUGCCUGGGCCGCGAGGCUGCGGUCGAGCGGCGGGGGCGACCUGCUGCAGGCGUCCGCGGUGGCUGCAACGCGUGGACCUGUCUGUUGGGGAAGUGCCGAGGGCAUGAGGCAUGGCGAGCUUGGACAGUGCGGCACCGUGGCAGGUAUUAAGCUGACACCCAUUGUGUCAUCCGGCGCGGUUUUGGAGUGCGGGCAUGCCAUGUGCGUACCAUUUUAGGCACGUCACGCGACGAGGGCGCUUGAAGAGUGGGGUCGGAGAGUGCGUAGAGCUUUUGAGUGGGAAAGAAUGGGAGAUUCGUUCAUGGGAAAAUGUGGGAGAUGCAUUUCAUAAAUGUGGUGAACAGUUGAGCGUUUGGGCCGCAUUUUGACGAGUUGGCCGGUCUCUGACGCGUGGUAGGAUGGUGGGCGUCACCAAAGUGAGAGGCUGGCGGCCUGUGGCGGUCUCACCGCUGAGAGACAUUGACCAUCGGUGUCUCGGGACUUGUCCAUAACGAUAACGUUUGUAUUGCAUGUACCAUUUCGUGGGGUGUAAGGGUUCACCUCUCCGGCUGGCACCUCGCAGCCAUGUACUCUGGCCUUGUCAUUUUGUAUGGAGUGAACCCAGUCACUGUUGCGCUGCGCAUGCGAUACAUUGCAAUCAUGUGAUGCGUCGGCAAGUGGAAAGUUUGGCAGGGGAUGGAGCGCUGUGUGGACGGAGCAUCCAUGGGGAAGUGUUGGUGUACCUAAAUAUGCAAGUAGCGCAAGGCAAUUCUGUAGCGCCGGCCGCAUUGGCAUGCGCAGCUCUCGAGUGUGGCGUGUGGCACAUUUAAUAAGCCCGCAUUUCACCACAUGCGUUGGUGUUCAUAUCUAGGACGUGCAUGUCGCAAUAGGUCGGCAGGGUACCGGCGUGUCUGGGACUUCAGAGCCUCUGCGGCGAUGCAUCAGUGCUUACCUGCUCCGUUUGAGGGGAAGGGCACAAGACUGGGGGAGGGAGGAGCCCGGAGGAGCACAGGGUCGCGAAGGCGCAGGCUCCCAUGUAUGUAUACGCUGGUCACUCUGUUGUCGAGGGCGCUGUAAGUGUGGGAUGCUACGAUACGAUUUGGCNNNNNNNNNNNNNNNNNNNNNNNNNNNNNNNNNNNNNNNNNNNNNNNNNNNNNNNNNNNNNNNNNNNNNNNNNNNNNNNNNNNNNNNNNNNNNNNNNNNNGCCUCCGUCAGACAGUCCAGGAAGAAGCGCUGGCCCUCGCCCACACUGGCCGCCAGCGCCUCCAGCGCGCCUGGUAGUUGAAGGUGCCGUAGAAGGCCGCGCCGUACUGAAAGGACUUCUUGCGAUUCCACCGGCCCAGGAACAGCAUCAUCAGCGUAUCCGCCAGCUCCACCGAUGUGUUGAAGCCCGGCAGCAGCGUGUGCCAAUGCCGGUGAAAGCCCUCAAGCGCGCUGGUGCCCCGCUUCGAGCGCCACUUGGGGGGCUUCUCAGGGUCCGGCUCCACGUUGAUGUACAUCUCCACGCCGACAGGGUCUGCGCAUACACCGGCCCAUGGGCAUGUGGAAUGUGCAUGAGUAGAUGUGGGAAAUUGAAACCGAAUCAGCAACAAACUGCUACGCGCACUAGCCGUGCAGUAAGCCCAGCCGUGCAGUAAAAACAACCUACUACUGGUACGCCUGAAACCUACCGCUGAGGCGGCCCUCCUUGAUGUGCAGGCGGACACGCUCAAUCGCGUCCAGGGUGUCCGUGUUCAGCAGCCGCGCGCCUGCAUGUUGGAGCAGGCGGGCAGAUGAUGGGCCGCAGUGAGCUUCUCACGCAAUGCGGCGCGGCAAUAGCACCACCACACAGCCAGCGCCAGGAUCACAGCGCACCUGUGCUCAUGUCGAUUUGACGCUCGUACUGAGCCACCACCUUUUCGAAGCGCUCCAGCAGCUCCUUCGGAGGUGGAAUGAAGGACCGGCAUGUGGUGUCGUUGAUGGGCCAGCCCUUGGAUGCCGCCAGCUUCUCAUCCUCCUUGUUCCGCACACGGAAAGCGCCAGCAAUGUCAGCGAUGAACGUCGCUGCAAUCACCAUCAAAGAGCAAGCACACAGUCACCAAAUGGGCACGACCACCCGAUAGAACCACACGUUGACAAUUGCUCAUACCUCGCAGGCUGUGGUCGGAUGGCAGGGUGUCAGUGAUCCGGCGCUCCACGUGGAACAGGUCCUCCUUGAUGCCACCGCCCGGAGGCAUGCCUGGAAAGCAGCGCUCCAGCAGCUUGCCGGUCGUGUGGCUGUUGUCCACGUAGAUCAUGCCGAGUUGGCUCUGCACGGGGUAACACACGCAAUUGCAAGUUGUUCAGCACGCAUAUUCUGAGGCACGGCUUAUGUGGCUGCUGCAGCGAAGCCAAGCAGCUUUUACCAGGUCAAGGAGUCACCCGUUACUGCGUACCUUCUUCAGAGACAGGUUACGCUGUGCCAGCCGGCGCAGCGCAUCCUCAAGCUCCAGCAGCCCACCACCACCGAGGUACAAGCCCACAAUCUCGCCUCGUUCGUUCAUAACAGUUGUAGACUCCUUGAACGCGCGCUCACCGUCUGUAGUCCGCACCUUUUUGGCGUUUUUGAAGGCGCCAUCAAUGCGCAGAACCUCAAAGGGCAGCGACUGCAUGUGCUGUUCUGCUGCCGCCACUUCACCCCGCACAGCGACAAGGAAGCACUUGAUUGCGUACUGCACGCUCAGCAGCGCGCCACCGUACAGGCCGUCUUCAAAGCGGGGGAAAGGCAGCACCUGCAGGUAAAGAAAUGUCAGACGGCGGGAUUGCAGAAGAGGGGGCGAGCGAUGCUGGGGUCCCGUCAACCCUGCUCACCUUGCUUCCAGAACCCGGGGCAGCCGCCUCUGCGUCCUCCUGUAUUCACAAGGUGCGGCGUAGCACUGAUCAUACUGCAGGCAGGGCUAACAAGACGGGCGGCCUGUUGAUACUAACAGGGCGGCCUGGUGAUACUAAGAAGACAGCCAUGCACAUACCUCAACGUCGGUUCUGUCCCCAUCCUCAUCCGGGUCCAGGCCUGCUCUGCCGCCUGCGCUGGCGCCUGCUCUGCCGCCUGCUCUGCCGCCUGCGCUGGCGCCUGCUCUGCCGCCUGCGCUGCCACCUGCGCUGCCACCUGCGCUGCCGCCUGCGCUGCCGCCUGCGCUGCUGCCUGCGCUGCCGCCUGUGCUGCCACCCACGACGUCGCCUGCUGUGCUGCCGCCCGCAGGCUGAAAAAAGUCGCGUAUGGUGCGCCCCCUCUUCAGCAUCAAGUACUCCAGCUCCGUCAUCUUAUGCACCAUAUGCGCCUUCUCGUUGACCAUGUCGCAGAUGCUGCUGAAGCUGGUGCCCUGGGGCGGCAUGACCGACAGCGUGCGCACGACCCGCCACGUGAGCCCACUCUGCCGAGUUAGCACGCCGGGGAGUUUCAGCUGCACGUACCCCGGCAGCUGCGAGACGAUCUCCGGGUCGCACAUUUGGAAGUGUUUGGCGUCAGUGCAGACUGCAUGGCAGGGGAAGGGGGCCAGCGGUUUCUCAGCUGUCGAUCGUCGCCGCAUGUCGGGUGACAUGUCGUUGCGCACGCCGAGAACGUCGCGAGGUGCGUGGCACAGCGUAAUGUUGCACUUGCAAUUGUAUACCACUCACUCUUGCAUUUUGCUUGACUGCAAAAAACCCACACGUCCUCCUCCCCGUCGCCGAUGAGCUUCUUGACGUCCAUCGCCCAGCCCCAGUACACGCAGUUGGCCUUCGUGCACGUUGGGCACUUUGGCCGCCAUGUUGAGUUGCAAAGGCGCUUAGGGUCCCAGAGGAUGAGCUGCGUGCGCGAGCACACAGUCUGGACAAGCCGCUCGCACUCGCUGCCCUGGAAGCGCGGGUCCGAAGGGCUGGCAAAGCGGAUUUCGUAUGGUAGUGGGAGGUUUACGUUCUUGUCGUCGCAGUAAUCCUUGAUAGCAAGCGCGAUCCUAUAGAGAAUGUCAGCCUUGUUUAAAUGAGUGAACUCGAGGCGCUUCAAGACGACCGUGUCAGUGUGCAGCUCAAAUUCUACGGAUGUUUUCAAGCCGUUGCCGCUAGCGUGGUACUUGAUAGUGUGGGGAGUGCUGUUCGGUACCGUGGUCCAGGUUGUGGCUUGGUCUUUCUUUGCUUUUUUGCGCACAGGCUCAGACAUAUUGAUAAGAAAGCAUUUCACUUAUCGAUGUGUAUUUGUAGCAGCGACUAUGGGCCCUUCCUGAGCACCCCGAAUUAGCGCACCGAAUUAGCGCUAAUUCGACCCCAUGCGCCCCCCCAGACAGCCGGACCACUUCACGCAAUCUUGCCGGGGUGCCUCGAUUGAAGCCCCGCGCUUCAGCUGUUGCUUACUUUGCAUUGCUGUUAACCGUCACAUUGUGUCGUGGUAAUUCAGCGUCCACUCUCCAGCACCUGUUACGAAUCCUAUCGGCGCCUACUUUGCGAUUUGGCCCGUGUUCGCAAGGCAUAUCAGUAAAGCCACAUGCAUAGCUGCACCUAGAUCGCACGCUGCUGCGGCGGAGCAGCGAGCAAGAAACCUUACGUUGCUCUUGGACCCGGCGAGCCCACGAGGCGCCGCUGCACGAUGCAGCGAGCGGCGGCGGUGCCUUCUGCGAGGGGCAGCAUGCAUGGCGGAGGCCGAGGCGGUGGCGGCGCAGGUGAGGCGUUUUGACGCGAAGGGGAAGGGGUGCUGAUGGCUGGAACUCUCGCCUCCGGGGCGGACAAGCUUGCCUGACCUGCGUGCAAAUGGCGUAGGAUGGCGCAAGGUGACUUUGGCCUCACAUCAAUAUUUUGGCCUAGGCGAUGGGGCCGACUACCCCGCCCACAGGUUUUCUUCGUGCAGUCGCGUCCACGGCACUCGGCGCGCAAAAUCUGGCGUCACUCCUUGGACGCCGAGCCUCUGUGGUGGCAGUGCAUGCAGACGGGGCUGGUGGGACCACGGGCCGGGUGCCAUUCAGACGCCGGAAACCGCGGCCGGACCCACUGCAAAGGCUGAUGCUGCGGAAGCUGCGGGACAUCCAGAACGACGUGCGCGGCAUCCAGAACGACGUGCGCGGCAUCCAGCAGAAGCAGGAUGGAUUCGCUGAGACACAGAGCAUCAUCGUCGAGUCGCUCGUGGGCAGCGAGCUCAGUGAGCGCGACCCGCCGGACGUGGACAGCAGCAAAGCGCGCAGAGCCGUCAAGCUGCAGUCUGCGGACAGCGUUGUGGCCUGUGUGGUGCCGCAAGAGCUCCCGCCGCGCCUGCUGCACGAGGACGCACCUGCGCAGCUCACGGCGUGGCUCAUGGAGGAUCGGGUGAGCGGCGUGAUGAGUGGGGGCUACCGUUUGUUACCGUUUGUUCCAGCGUCUUGACCUGCCAACGCAUAGGCCAGCUCUGACGUGUCAAAAUGGACCCUGACUUGUCUUCUGCCGCCGCCGCUUGUGUAGGGCCGAGGCAUCCGCGCUAUCCUGCGGUCGUGUCUGCGUGCGGUGCCUUCCCUGCUCGGGGCGGUGGCGGGGAGUGCAGAGGACAAGGCGGCGGCUGCGACUGAAGCUGAGGUGAGAGCUUGCCGCUAUUACGUAUGGCGGCUGGCGGCGUCAACUGCUCCAACAGCAACGGCAGACAGGACGUGCUACCGUACGUGCGAUUUUACACUGUUCGCAGGUGGCGCUGACAGAGCUCGAGAAGGCUGGGGCUGGCCAAAAGGAGCUGCGAGCCGCCUGUGACGCGCUCAAGUGCUGCGCGGCGCGGCUGCCGGUCUCCUUGAAGCUGCUCGAGGACUGCGUCAAGGACCCGAAGAAAGCCGAGGAGCUGCUGCGCGGUGAGCUGUGCAUCGCGGCGCUGACGUCGCUGCACCCGGUCAGCGGCACGGCCUCAUCGACGGCCAAAGAGCUGGAGAUCGACCGCCUGCUGCCGCUACGGUUGCUUCCGGCGGCUGACGGCGCCAACGGCACCAGCAACAACGGUGGCAUCGCCAUCCUGGAGGUGCAGGAGAUCAAGUCGUCCACCGCUGGUGAGUGAAGUGCCGACAGACAUGGCACCAGACGGGGUGGUCGGGACACGGCAUUCAAACUGGUUGGCAUGGGCGGCGAGGAUUUCCAAGGCGUCAUGUUACCUGCUGCGUUGAGGUGUCUGGGAGCCUCUGUGCCGCGGUCCAUGUAUUGACCGGGAUCAGGCCGCACUCCACGACCUCUGCUCAUGCGCAGGUCUACCCACGGGGGGUGACCAGGCGGCCCGCCUGGGCUCCGUUCUGGGGUGCUCCUACGGUGUGCUGCAAGAGCGGCUCCAGCACGCGGCGGCAGGCGCUGUGCCGCCGCUGCCGGUGAAGCUGCGCCUGCAGGGGACCAUUGCGCUCGGCAAAGACGGCGACCCCAACGCGGAUGCGGCGCAGCUCCCGCCCCAGCAGACGCUUAAAACCGCUGACGACAAGGUGCACGACAUGCAGAUGCAGUACCUGGUCCUGGCGAAGGGCGCUCUGGUGCCCUGGGUGCCGAGCCGCCCGAAGCAGUGAGCGGUCGGGACACGCGGUUGACAGCGAGCCGAGCUGCUACCGCGGUCUUCGUACCGCUGCAGCUUUGCGCGCGACGGGUAGCUGCUGGGGUGCCCGGGCCGCGAGGCUGCGGUCGAGCGGCGGGGGCGACCUGCUGCAGGCGUCCGCGGUGGCUGCAACGCGUGGACCUGUCUGUUGGGGAAGUGCCGAGGGCAUGAGGCAUGGCGAGCUUGGACAGUGCGGCACCGUGGCAGGUAUUAAGCUGACACCCAUUGUGUCAUCCGGCGCGGUUUUGGAGUGCGGGCAUGCCAUGUGCGUACCAUUUUAGGCACGUCACGCGACGAGGGCGCUUGAAGAGUGGGGUCGGAGAGUGCGUAGAGCUUUUGAGUGGGAAAGAAUGGGAGAUUCGUUCAUGGGAAAAUGUGGGAGAUGCAUUUCAUAAAUGUGGUGAACAGUUGAGCGUUUGGGCCGCAUUUUGACGAGUUGGCCGGUCUCUGACGCGUGGUAGGAUGGUGGGCGUCACCAAAGUGAGAGGCUGGCGGCCUGUGGCGGUCUCACCGCUGAGAGACAUUGACCAUCGGUGUCUCGGGACUUGUCCAUAACGAUAACGUUUGUAUUGCAUGUACCAUUUCGUGGGGUGUAAGGGUUCACCUCUCCGGCUGGCACCUCGCAGCCAUGUACUCUGGCCUUGUCAUUUUGUAUGGAGUGAACCCAGUCACUGUUGCGCUGCGCAUGCGAUACAUUGCAAUCAUGUGAUGCGUCGGCAAGUGGAAAGUUUGGCAGGGGAUGGAGCGCUGUGUGGACGGAGCAUCCAUGGGGAAGUGUUGGUGUACCUAAAUAUGCAAGUAGCGCAAGGCAAUUCUGUAGCGCCGGCCGCAUUGGCAUGCGCAGCUCUCGAGUGUGGCGUGUGGCACAUUUAAUAAGCCCGCAUUUCACCACAUGCGUUGGUGUUCAUAUCUAGGACGUGCAUGUCGCAAUAGGUCGGCAGGGUACCGGCGUGUCUGGGACUUCAGAGCCUCUGCGGCGAUGCAUCAGUGCUUACCUGCUCCGUUUGAGGGGAAGGGCACAAGACUGGGGGAGGGAGGAGCCCGGAGGAGCACAGGGUCGCGAAGGCGCAGGCUCCCAUGUAUGUAUACGCUGGUCACUCUGUUGUCGAGGGCGCUGUAAGUGUGGGAUGCUACGAUACGAUUUGGCCACAUCCGCAGUUGCCAGAGCCACGUGAAAUGCCUCCCCGGCAUCGCCAGCACAAACAAGCUCCCAACGCCAGCCGCCUCGUGCGCACCGCAAUGACACGUCACCCACACUGGCCUGAAGCACUCGUGUCGACAGCAUAAUAGGCUGUUCUCGGAGCUUUCUGGAGCGUAAGGGCCGCGCGUCAGCUCCAAUCCAGCCACCAGCACAGCGCGGCCACUUGUGUACUGUGCAGAAAUGUCAGCCGCGCACGAACCAAUGCUCGCGCCACAUGCCCUCAAUUGAGUUGCUGGCACAGGUUUGGGCGUCACACGCACUACGGGACGAUGACGACACCUUGCCCCUUUGCAGUGUACCAUCUCAAUCAUUGGGGUUUGGGGGGUUUCCCUGCCGGCUGGGACUACUGCCGCUGCUGGUUGAGCUGCGGCUGGCGCACCGGCCGGCGGGGCGGCCGCCGGCGGCGGCGGCCUGGCUGCUACUGCCGUGACGGGCGCUGCCGACCUCGCUGGAGCAACUUGAACUUGAGGGCCCGGAGCUGUGGACAUGAGGCUACAGCCGCAGGCUGCGAGCCGCAGUGGUCACGAGAAGGCGGCAGAGAUGCUGCUACUGCCGCGGCUGCGGCGUCGGCUCCAGAGCGGCGUGCCGUACUGUCAGGCGCAGGUGAUGCAGGUACGGGUGCCGUGCGCGAGGGGGGUUGCGACUUCAGUGCAGUAUGCGGCAGGUUUCCAUUACUCAUCAGCGAUGGACGCUUGGAUACAGGGUAUAAGGCUUGGUGUGUAGACCUUACUGGCAUGAGCAUGGCGUACUGACACAAUCUGGGCACUAUGGCUUCGACGUGUCCAUCAGCGUACAACAGUACCAGGUGCGCCAGCCCGGCGCUGACACAUACACAGUCUCGCUUCCUCUCAUGCCCCUGGACCAAAGUGACAUCAGCCCUCAUUGCACCCUGCAACUGCGCAAGCCGACACCUUGGUCAAGCACACACUCGAACGCCCCUCCCUCAACAUCCCCCACAAUGCGCGAUGCUAUCCUCAAUUCCUCAUGCACACGAGCACUCCUCUCAAUGCGUGCACCCACUGCAAGUUCAAAUCCCAUCAGCCGUACACCUGAAAGAGCGCGCGUCACGGGCUACUCGACAAUCCAGGCCAAUCCAUUACUUCAGAAGCGGUCCUUGGCCGCGCGGAUGGCGCCAAACACCUGCCAGUCGGGCGCGGCGGCGUCAAAGCCCAGCUGCUGGCGAAUGGCUGGGUCGUGGGGGCGCAGGAAGGGGUUGGUCGCCUUCUCAUCACCCAGGCGGCUAUGCACGGUGGGCUCGCCCUGGAGGGGGGGAGGAGGACGGGAAGCGGGGAGGGCGGGGAGGGUGGGGAGUGGGGAGGUUGGCACACGGGCACGGCUGGGAGCGUAGUUCAAGUACAGGCGGAGGCAAAGAAGGGGGCAGGGGCAGAAUACACGGCAGAGCCCGUGGUAAAGACAGACACGAGGGGCGAAGGGCUCGCAUUAGAGCCGGCACGGCUGCCGCAAUCAGCGGCAAGCGCGCUGUGCCCUCGCCCCUCCUGUGGCAACCCGCUGCCCCCACGCACCCGCGCCCGCGCCGCGUCAAUAGCCGCCUUGCCCUCCGCCAGCGCGCUGUUGGCCGGGUCCACCGUCACCGCGAACCUGAGGAUGUGCAUGAGGCGCGGGAGCGGGGAGGCAGGAGUGGGGUGGAUGGGGGUGCAAACGUAAGUUACUCUGGUAUUCAGUGACCCUUGCCACUCCUACCACUCACAUGCACCCAUGCCCCCCUGGUGUUGUUUCUUGGGAUUGGGCAUAUACCCCCCUCCCCCAGGUUCCGGCCACUCCUCCUCCUCGCUCGGGCUGGCUGGUUCGGGUUCGAGUCUCUGUUUUUUUGCUUGGGUUUGGAGCAAACUACCCCCUCCCCCAAGACCACCAAGACCUUGCACCCAGGCCCUCCUAAAUAGUGCCGUGCCCCCGGGGAGGCGUGCUGUCGGUUGUCCCCUUGCCGCACUUGUUACGCCUGUCCCUCGUCGCAAGCAUCAUUCCUAGGGUACCGACCUACUGCGGGGAUUGCUCUGGGCGUGGCGUAUCCGCAACCUUCUGUGGGCGUCGCAACAACGCAUACCUGGGCUGCCGGCAUGCGUGGGAGCCGUUCGCGGCCCGCGGCCGGCGCACCCGUCCGCACCCCUCUCCGCACCUGUCACCACCCCGGCUGGGAAGUAACCGCCCAUGCGAUGCCCAUGCGAUGCCGAUGCCCCGCCUACUUCGGGCAAACCUCGCCCUUGCCCCCUCUCUUUGUUUCCCAGGCUCGCGCGCGCUAGACACUAGUUUGGCUUCGACCACUUGCACAUCCUUCCUGCAGUUGCUCACAAGUGUUGGCCCUCCCUCCCACAUGUCGCCUUCAUGCCGGCGCUUCCAACCUGGCACCGGUACCGCUCUGGUUCGUCACAGGUGGGUAUCGUUGCGGUUCGCGUGCAUUAGCUAGCGGGCUGGGUUCACCGCGCCGCGAGCCUGGGUGUUACUUGAUGGUAAGCGAGUUGGCGAUUUCCGGCCUACCGUCUACGGCCUACACCAUUCAGAUGCACGAGACUGAAGGGCGACCAAGAUAAAUGUUAACGCCACUCCUCCUCCUCGCUCGGGUUGGCUGGUUUUGGUUUGGGUCUCUGGUUUUUUGCUUGGGUUUGGAAUGAUCUACCCCCAUCCCCCCCUACACCUCCUGGUCAUAACGCAUCGGUAUGGUACCUACGUUCGCAACGCCUGUACUACGUCUCCUUCGUCCUAAUUAAUCAUGCAUGGAACCCCCCCCCCACACACACAUAUACACCCACCUGGCGUUGGACUGGGUGUACUCGUACGCGCAGUAGACCAGCGUGUCGUCCGGCAGCGGCGUCAGCUGGCUGAGCGAGGCCCACAUCUGCUGCGGGCUGCCCUCGAACAGCCGCCCGCAGCCCAGCGCGAACAGCGUGUCAGCGAGGCUCGCGCGCGCUCGCACACGCACCUCAGCUUGCGCUGCAUCGCGUCCGCCCACGCGCGCGCCUCCGCCAGCCGCCGCAGGUGCCACCGCCGCCGCAGCGCGCGCUGGAUGGUCCUCGCCGCCUGCUGCCGCCGGAUGGCGUCCAGCAGCGCGAUGUCCGCGCGCGUGAGCCCCAGCUGCCCCAGCCGCAGCAGCCGUCCCACCCAGCCGCCGGCACCCGCCUCCCAGGCGAGGAGCCGCCCCUGCCCCCGCCGCCGCCGCCACUCACAGCACUGGCGCUGGUCCCCGGCCGGCUAACCGCACCUGCCCCCGCCGCCGCUGCCACCCGGCCCAGGCCCCAACCCGAGGCCGGAGCCCACCAGGCCGCUCAGCGCCACGCCCGCCGCCACGUCAGCCAGCGUCAGGCCCGCCACCUCCGCCGCCUCCGUCAGACAGUCCAGGAAGAAGCGCUGGCCCUCGCCCACACUGGCCGCCAGCGCCUCCAGCGCGCCUGGUAGUUGAAGGUGCCGUAGAAGGCCGCGCCGUACUGAAAGGACUUCUUGCGAUUCCACCGGCCCAGGAACAGCAUCAUCAGCGUAUCCGCCAGCUCCACCGAUGUGUUGAAGCCCGGCAGCAGCGUGUGCCAAUGCCGGUGAAAGCCCUCAAGCGCGCUGGUGCCCCGCUUCGAGCGCCACUUGGGGGGCUUCUCAGGGUCCGGCUCCACGUUGAUGUACAUCUCCACGCCGACAGGGUCUGCGCAUACACCGGCCCAUGGGCAUGUGGAAUGUGCAUGAGUAGAUGUGGGAAAUUGAAACCGAAUCAGCAACAAACUGCUACGCGCACUAGCCGUGCAGUAAGCCCAGCCGUGCAGUAAAAACAACCUACUACUGGUACGCCUGAAACCUACCGCUGAGGCGGCCCUCCUUGAUGUGCAGGCGGACACGCUCAAUCGCGUCCAGGGUGUCCGUGUUCAGCAGCCGCGCGCCUGCAUGUUGGAGCAGGCGGGCAGAUGAUGGGCCGCAGUGAGCUUCUCACGCAAUGCGGCGCGGCAAUAGCACCACCACACAGCCAGCGCCAGGAUCACAGCGCACCUGUGUUCAUGUCGAUUUGACGCUCGUACUGAGCCACCGACUGCAUGUGCUGUUCUGCUGCCGCCACUUCACCCCGCACAGCGACAAGGAAGCACUUGAUUGCGUACUGCACGCUCAGCAGCGCGCCACCGUACAGGCCGUCUUCAAAGCGGGGGAAAGGCAGCACCUGCAGGUAAAGAAAUGUCAGACGGCGGGCUUGCAGAAGAGGGGGCGAGCGAUGCUGGGGUCCCGUCAACCCUGCUCACCUUGCUUCCAGAACCCGGGGCAGCCGCCUCUGCGUCCUCCUGUAUUCACAAGGUGCGGCGUAGCACUGAUCAUACUGCAGGCAGGGCUAACAAGACGGGCGGCCUGUUGAUACUAACAGGGCGGCCUGGUGAUACUAAGAAGACAGCCAUGCACAUACCUCAACGUCGGUUCUGUCCCCAUCCUCAUCCGGGUCCAGGCCUGCUCUGCCGCCUGCGCUGGCGCCUGCUCUGCCGCCUGCUCUGCCGCCUGCGCUGGCGCCUGCUCUGCCGCCUGCGCUGCCACCUGCGCUGCCACCUGCGCUGCCGCCUGCGCUGCCGCCUGCGCUGCCGCCUGCGCUGCUGCCUGCGCUGCCGCCUGUGCUGCCACCCACGACGUCGCCUGCUGUGCUGCCGCCCGCAGGCUGAAAAAAGUCGCGUAUGGUGCGCCCCCUCUUCAGCAUCAAGUACUCCAGCUCCGUCAUCUUAUGCACCAUAUGCGCCUUCUCGUUGACCAUGUCGCAGAUGCUGCUGAAGCUGGUGCCCUGGGGCGGCAUGACCGACAGCGUGCGCAUGACCCGCCACGUGAGCCCACUCUGCCGAGUUAGCACGCCGGGGAGUUUCAGCUGCACGUACCCCGGCAGCUGCGAGACGAUCUCCGGGUCGCACAUUUGGAAGUGUUUGGCGUCAGUGCAGACUGCAUGGCAGGGGAAGGGGGCCAGCGGUUUCUCAGCUGUCGAUCGUCGCCGCAUGUCGGGUGACAUGUCGUUGCGCACGCCGAGAACGUCGCGAGGUGCGUGGCACAGCGUAAUGUUGCACUUGCAAUUGUAUACCACUCACUCUUGCAUUUUGCUUGACUGCAAAAAAACCACACGUCCUCCUCCCCGUCGCCGAUGAGCUUCUUGACGUCCAUCGCCCAGCCCCAGUACACGCAGUUGGCCUUCGUGCACGUUGGGCACUUUGGCCGCCAUGUUGAGUUGCAAAGGCGCUUAGGGUCCCAGAGGAUGAGCUGCGUGCGCGAGCACACAGUCUGGACAAGCCGCUCGCACUCGCUGCCCUGGAAGCGCGGGUCCGAAGGGCUGGCAAAGCGGAUUUCGUAUGGUAGUGGGAGGUUUACGUUCUUGUCGUCGCAGUAAUCCUUGAUAGCAAGCGCGAUCCUAUAGAGAAUGUCAGCCUUGUUUAAAUGAGUGAACUCGAGGCGCUUCAAGACGACCGUGUCAGUGUGCAGCUCAAAUUCUACGGAUGUUUUCAAGCCGUUGCCGCUAGCGUGGUACUUGAUAGUGUGGGGAGUGCUGUUCGGUACCGUGGUCCAGGUUGUGGCUUGGUCUUUCUUUGCUUUUUUGCGCACAGGCUCAGACAUAUUGAUAAGAAAGCAUUUCACUUAUCGAUGUGUAUUUGUAGCAGCGACUAUGGGCCCUUCCUGAGCACCCCGAAUUAGCGCACCGAAUUAGCGCUAAUUCGACCUCAUGCGCCCCCCCAGACAGCGGACAAAAUCUUGCCGGGGUGCCUCGAUUGAAGCCCCGCGCUUCAGCUGUUGCUUACUUUGCAUUGCUGUUAACCGUCACAUUGUGUCGUGGUAAUUCAGCGUCCACUCUCCAGCACCUGUUACGAAUCCUAUCGGCGCCUACUUUGCGAUUUGGCCCGUGUUCGCAAGGCAUAUCAGUAAAGCCACAUGCAUAGCUGCACCUAGAUCGCACGCUGCUGCGGCGGAGCAGCGAGCAAGAAACCUUACGUUGCUCUUGGACCCGGAGAGCCCACGAGGCGCCGCUGCACGAUGCAGCGAGCGGCGGCGGUGCCUUCUGCGAGGGGCAGCAUGCAUGGCGGAGGCCGAGGCGGUGGCGGCGCAGGUGAGGCGUUUUGACGCGAAGGGGAAGGGGUGCUGAUGGCUGGAACUCUCGCCUCCGGGGCGGACAAGCUUGCCUGACCUGCGUGCAAAUGGCGUAGGAUGGCGCAAGGUGACUUUGGCCUCACAUCAAUAUUUUGGCCUGGGCGAUGGGGCCGACUACCCCGCCCACAGGUUUUCUUCGUGCAGUCGCGUCCACGGCACUCGGCGCGCAAAAUCUGGCGUCACUCCUUGGACGCCGAGCCUCUGUGGUGGCAGUGCAUGCAGACGGGGCUGGUGGGACCACGGGCCGGGUGCCAUUCAGACGCCGGAAACCGCGGCCGGACCCACUGCAAAGGCUGAUGCUGCGGAAGCUGCGGGACAUCCAGAACGACGUGCGCGGCAUCCAGAACCACGUGCGCGGCAUCCAGAACCGCGUGCGCGGCAUCCAGCAGAAGCAGGAUGGAUUCGCUGAGACACAGAGCAUCAUCGUCGAGUCGCUCGUGGGCAGCGAGCUCAGUGAGCGCGACCCGCCGGACGUGGACAGCAGCAAAGCGCGCAGAGCCGUCAAGCUGCAGUCUGCGGACAGCGUUGUGGCCUGUGUGGUGCCGCAAGAGCUCCCGCCGCGCCUGCUGCACGAGGACGCACCUGCGCAGCUCACGGCGUGGCUCAUGGAGGAUCGGGUGAGCGGCGUGAUGAGUGGGGGCUACCGUUUGUUACCGUUUGUUCCAGCGUCUUGACCUGCCAACGCAUAGGCCAGCUCUGACGUGUCAAAAUGGACCCUGACUUGUCUUCUGCCGCCGCCGCUUGUGUAGGGCCGAGGCAUCCGCGCUAUCCUGCGGUCGUGUCUGCGUGCGGUGCCUUCCCUGCUCGGGGCGGUGGCGGGGAGUGCAGAGGACAAGGCGGCGGCUGCGACUGAAGCUGAGGUGAGAGCUUGCCGCUAUUACGUAUGGCGGCUGGCGGCGUCAACUGCUCCAACAGCAACGGCAGACAGGACGUGCUACCGUACGUGCGAUUUUACACUGUUCGCAGGUGGCGCUGACAGAGCUCGAGAAGGCUGGGGCUGGCCAAAAGGAGCUGCGAGCCGCCUGUGACGCGCUCAAGUGCUGCGCGGCGCGGCUGCCGGUCUCCUUGAAGCUGCUCGAGGACUGCGUCAAGGACCCGAAGAAAGCCGAGGAGCUGCUGCGCGGUGAGCUGUGCAUCGCGGCGCUGACGUCGCUGCACCCGGUCAGCGGCACGGCCUCAUCGACGGCCAAAGAGCUGGAGAUCGACCGCCUGCUGCCGCUACGGUUGCUUCCGGCGGCUGACGGCGCCAACGGCACCAGCAACAACGGUGGCAUCGCCAUCCUGGAGGUGCAGGAGAUCAAGUCGUCCACCGCUGGUGAGUGAAGUGCCGACAGACAUGGCACCAGACGGGGUGGUCGGGACACGGCAUUCAAACUGGUUGGCAUGGGCGGCGAGGAUUUCCAAGGCGUCAUGUUACCUGCUGCGUUGAGGUGUCUGGGAGCCUCUGUGCCGCGGUCCAUGUAUUGACCGGGAUCAGGCCGCACUCCACGACCUCUGCUCAUGCGCAGGUCUACCCACGGGGCGUGACCAGGCGGCCCGCCUGGGCUCCGUUCUGGGGUGCUCCUACGGUGUGCUGCAAGAGCGGCUCCAGCACGCGGCGGCAGGCGCUGUGCCGCCGCUGCCGGUGAAGCUGCGCCUGCAGGGGACCAUUGCGCUCGGCAAAGACGGCGACCCCAACGCGGAUGCGGCGCAGCUCCCGCCCCAGCAGACGCUUAAAACCGCUGACGACAAGGUGCACGACAUGCAGAUGCAGUACCUGGUCCUGGCGAAGGGCGCUCUGGUGCCCUGGGUGCCGAGCCGCCCGAAGCAGUGAGCGGUCGAGACACGCGGUUGACAGCGAGCCGAGCUGCUACCGCGGUCUUCGUACCGCUGCAGCUUUGCGCGCGACGGGUAGCUGCUGGGGUGCCCGGGCCGCGAGGCUGCGGUCGAACGGCGGGGGCGACCAGCUGCAGGCGUCCGCGGUGGCUGCAACGCGUGGACCUGUCUGUUGGGGAAGUGCCGAGGGCAUGAGGCAUGGCGAGCUUGGACAGUGCGGCACCGUGGCAGGUAUUAAGCUGACACCCAUUGUGUCAUCCGGCGCGGUUUUGGAGUGCGGGCAUGCCAUGUGCGUACCAUUUUAGGCACGUCACGCGACGAGGGCGCUUGAAGAGUGGGGUCGGAGAGUGCGUAGAG